UGUUUUUUUUGUUUUUUGUUUUUGAGAAACCAAAUAUAGAAUACUAAUUGUAUAGUUUUUUGAUAACAAUUAAGUUGUUCCAUUUGGAUUAUAAAAAUAUAUAAUAGUACCUAUUUGGGCUCAUGUCAUAUGUUUUAUUAACAUGUACUUCCUGGUUUAUAUCAAAUUACAGAAUUUUAGAGUUUCAGAAUAAUUUGAAUUUAGAAAGCUAUUACUGUAGAUUAUGUGGGGGCAUUAAUGGAGGCUUGUAAUUGAAAUGCUGAAAAUGUAAAUUAAUUGGCUUGUAAAUGAGACAGGUAUAGCAAGUAAAUGAGGUCCUGAGGGUAUGUUUUUAUUCAGCUACUGAGUUGCAGGAUAAAGUCAAAAUAUUUACCGAGGUUAAUGGAAUAAUUAUAUAGGAUUUAUCAAUACUAUUAAAAUUACAUUUAAAAUAUAGAGCUAUAUUGCUUACCUUAAAUUAUAAAAUGAGCUUUCUCCAAAUUCAAAAUGCUUGUAAUUCAAACAGUCAUUUUUGGAUUACUGUAAAAAGGUAACUAACUGCCUUUUUACAAUUAGGAAUUUAUUUACAACUUUCUCUUCCAAUCCAUUUUCUAGUCUUUUAUACAAAAGACUCAUCUGCUUUCAAGGUUAGUUCAUUUAAGUCAUAAGGUAGAGAGAAGCAAGUACAGAAUGCAACACAGAACCACAGCCAUAAGGCAGAUUUCUCAAAUACUGUCCCUAAUGUUACCGGGAGUCCUUGCUUCCAGAACUCCCAAGAUGGUCGUGGGCCACUUCCAAGAUGGUGGCAAGAGUCGUAUUCUCUGACCUGGGGUUCUUGGUCUCAUGGAUUCCAAGGAAUGGAAUCUUGCGCCAUGUGGAGGAGCGUCAGAUAAUUAGGCAGCAGUCCAACAAUUAGGUUUUGUGGAACUUUUACUAUGUCAUCUAUUUAUUGGAAUUCCCUCUGGAUACCAGGACCCCCUCCAGCAGAGCUUAAAGUUA
rnacentral:lncRNA from 1 species